UACGUAGGGUGCGAGCGUUAAUCGGAAUUACUGGGCGUAAAGCGUGCGUAGGCGGUUUCAUAAGCUUGAUGUGAAAGCCCCGGGCUCAACCUGGGAAUGGCAUUGAGGACUGUGGAGCUAGAGUGCGGCAGAGGGAGGUGGAAUUCCACGUGUAGCAGUGAAAUGCGUAGAGAUGUGGAGGAACACCGAUGGCGAAGGCAGCCUCCUGGGCCGACACUGACGCUGAGGGCACGAAAGCGUGGGGAGC
rnacentral:rRNA from 1 species